rnacentral:lncRNA from 1 species
AUUACAACAGAAAAAUCAAAGUCAUGCCUUGUGCCUUGUAGAAGUCUGUGCUCCAUGGGUGUGACCACUGCCAAAGUACAACACCAGGACAGAAAGAAGCAACAAUUGCAUUAAAAGACAUGAAGGUAGCUGAAAGGGAGAAGCAUCCCUUAGAAAGGCAGGAUGGUCUUCAGGGAUUGGAUCCAGCAAAAAUAGAUUGCAGAAUUACCCGAGGACAGAAGUGGUGAAGCCAUUUCAUUGCAGAUGUCACUUAGUUCUCUGAUGGCUUGAGAAGGAUCAUCUUAAUGUGAAAAGUGGUGGCUAUAGAUAGUUCUGAAAAACAAGGCAGAAGUGAAAGUUCUUU